GGUUGCUAUAAAAAACAUAGAUUCACUCUGGAUCCAAAAUUUCGGAGUCCUGCAAUUCUCACGGUGAAGCUCGAUCGAGGUUUUCCCUGAAACAGAGCGACGGAGAUGCUCGCAUCUGAGAAGAUUGCCUAAAACCGAGUUGAUUGAAGGUUGUAAACUUCAUAUCUAGGGUUUACCCUCUUUCCAAAUCAGAUGAUCGACUCCGAGGUUUGAAUCUGCAAAAUCGAAGCUUGAUUUAAGGUGGGGAAAAAAAUCUCAGACCUUAUUCGAGAUUCAGGCAACCAGACGUCUGGUUCAGAGCAGGGCAGGUGGCAAACAGAACUUACCCAAGUAGCAAUAGAGUUGAAU